rnacentral:tRNA from 1 species
GCUAGGAUGGCAGAUCAGUGCAUAGGAUUUAAGUUCCUAUUAGGAAAUGUAUAAAAUUGUUUCUCUUAGUA